rnacentral:rRNA from 1 species
AGAGUUUGAUCAUGGCUCAGAUUGAACGCUGGCGGCGUGCCUAACACAUGCAAGUCGAGCGGUAACAGGUGUAGCAAUACAUGCUGACGAGCGGCGAACGGGUGAGUAAUGCUUUGGAAUCUUCCCAGUAGUGGGGAAUAACCAGUCGAAAGAUUGGCUAAUACCGCAUACGUCUGUAAAGGGAAAGCGGGGGCUCGUAAGACCUCGCGCUAUUGGAUGAGCCAAAGUCGGAUUAGCUAGUUGGUGGGGUAAUGGCCUACCAAGGCGACAAUCCGUAGCUGGUCUGAGAGGACGACCAGCCACACCGGAACUGAGACACGGUCCGGACUCCUACGGGAGGCAGCAGUGGGGAAUAUUGGACAAUGGGGGAAACCCUGAUCCAGCGACGCCGCGUGUGUGAAGAAGGCCUGCGGGUUGUAAAGCACUUUUAGUGGGGACAAAAAGCUACGGAUUAAUACUCUGUGGUCUUGAUUUAACCUACAGAAAAAGCACCGGCUAACUCUGUGCCAGCAGCCGCGGUAAUACAGAGGGUGCGAGCGUUAAUCGGAAUUACUGGGCGUAAAGCGCGCGUAGACGGUUUUGUAAGUCAGAUGUGAAAUCCCUGGGCUCAACCUGGGAACUGCAUUUGAGACUGCAUGGCUAGAGUAUCGAAGAGGGAAGUGGAAUUUCCGGUGUAGCGGUGAAAUGCGUAGAUAUCGGAAGGAACACCAGUGGCGAAAGCGACUUCCUGGUCGAAUACUGACGUUCAUGUGCGAAAGCGUGGGGAGCAAACAGGAUUAGAUACCCCUGUAGUCC